AACGGCCGCCUCAAAAGCAGAGUCCUACGCCCGGGUACGUCAUUGACCACAUAAACGGGAUCGAACAUUCGAAACCCGCUUGGAGCUUCGGUGCCUGUCCGCGAUUUUUCGCAAUUGUCCCAGGCAGGCAGAAGCCUUAAGAUGGUUUGACUGUCUCUUCGCCUGUCAUACAUCUUAACAGAAGAAGCCCUGAGGAGGACUAGAGGCUCAAAUAAAAGAGGAAUAACAUAAAACAAGACCCGGAAGGAGAAGGACAACAACAAAACUGAAGAACUGAUGAAUAAGGAGCAAGGACAACGAGAAUAAUGAAGGAAAAGAUAAAGAGGGGGCGAGCGGCAACUUUCACGACCCUGCCGUUUUACCGCCGAGAAAUGAACCCACAGUACCUGGAGACUGGCUGAACUCCCGACCCGAUGCAGAUGUGGUGGCAAUCAUGAAACUCCUACCCUGUCGAGAAUCGAACUCCAGUUGCUAAGUCCACUGACACUCACUUUCCCAGGACACGUGAACUGGCAGAUAUAAUCAUUUCCGGAUUGGGGCAGAUCGUCAACGACGCCACACGAGUAAUGAAC